ensembl:snoRNA SNORD22 Small nucleolar RNA SNORD22
UGCCAGUAAGAACAAACAUCUUGUCUUAACUCCCUGCUCUAGCCCCAGAACGAGUAAUGGUGAACCCACUGGUGUAGCUGGGAGAGAGGAAGGAAACUUGGUUCCAUGAGGAACUACAUGAGGUCC